rnacentral:rRNA from 1 species
AGCAGUAGCCGCGGGAACACGUAGGUGGCAAGCGUUGUCCGGAAUUAUUGGGCGUAAAGGGCUCGCAGGCGGUUUCUUAAGUCUGAUGUGAAAGCCCCCGGCUCAACCGGGGAGGGUCAUUGGAAACUGGGAAACUUGAGUGCAGAAGAGGAGAGUGGAAUUCCACGUGUAGCGGUGAAAUGCGUAGAGAUGUGGAGGAACACCAGUGGCGAAGGCGACUCUCUGGUCUGUAACUGACGCUGAGGAGCGAAAGCGUGGGGAGCGAACAGGAUUAGAUACCCCCGUAGUCCCUGUCUCUUAUAA